rnacentral:rRNA from 1 species
GACGAACGCUGGCGGCGUGCUUAACACAUACAAGUCGAACGGAAAGGCCCUGCUUUUGUGGGGUGCUCGAGUGGCGAACGGGUGAGUAACACGUGAGUAACCUGCCCUUGACUUUGGGAUAACUUCAGGAAACUGGGGCUAAUACCGGAUAGGAGCUCCUGCUGCAUGGUGGGGGUUGGAAAGUUUCGGCGGUUGGGGAUGGACUCGCGGCUUAUCAGCUUGUUGGUGGGGUAGUGGCUUACCAAGGCUUUGACGGGAAGCCGGCCUGAGAGGGUGACCGGCCACAUUGGGACUGAGAUACGGCCCAGACUCCUACGGGAGGCAGCAGUGGGGAAUAUUGCACAAUGGGCGGAAGCCUGAUGCAGCAACGCCGCGUGCGGGAUGACGGCCUUCGGGUUGUAAACCGCUUUCGCCUGUGACGAAGCGUGAGUGACGGUAAUGGGUAAAGAAGCACCGGCUAACUACGUG